CCCAAGGGAGAUCCUGGCUCAAAAUCCCCCCAAAAUCUCAAUUUUGGCUCGGAGAGAGGCUGCUCUGACGUCUCUGCCCAGGCCACCAAACUCCGGGGGCAAACGUGGAAAAUCCUCCAACCCCACCCAAGCAAAAGCGGGGGGAAAGCAGCAUUAAAAAAAAAAUUAAAAAUAAAAAGGAGAAAUCCAGAUGUUCGCCAGCCCUGCCUGGCCGAGUCAUCCCUGGGAGCCUGGCGUGGCCAGCACCGGGGGCAAAGUGUGGCGGCCGCGAGUAUCAAAGCGAGCCUCCGCCGAUCUGCGUCUGUCCCGGCUCCACACUUUCCCUGCUGGGGUGACUCAGCUCUCCCGGGGACGGGUGCCGGCUUGCCGGGGUGUGCUACCGGCAGCUCCGCUCCCCGAGCACUCACUCCCCCCCGGUGCUCCGCACCCCGGUGCCGAGGACGGGAGGGAGAUGGAAGUGGAGGAUGCGUCCUCCCCGCUGCGGAGGCUGUGCGUGGUGGCCGGGUGGCUCCCAGGGCUGGAUGGGGGCACCAGGGGGUCUGAAGGCUCAGGGCACCUGGACCCCUUCCCACUCUUCUGCUUUGGUGUUUCCUAAGAUGUUUUAGGGACAGGUUUGGUCCCCUGGCAUUUCUAGGUGGCACAAGGGGACCACAAGAGCCUCGCACCCCAGUGUGGCUGCACCCUGGCCGGUCCCAGGGAAUUCUCUGCACUGGGUGCUGGUGUCCCCCUGUGUGUUUUGGGGCAAUAUAUGGCUUCUGGUGGGAGGAGAGCCAAAUCCCCACCUUGGGCAAAUGCAAGUUUCACCAGUGAUGCCACGAGGGAUGCUGCGCUGGGGUCCCAAACCACUGUGCCUGGUGGAGGGCGGAUGGGUCCCCUCAGCCAGGGGGGAUCAUGGGGCAGCACCAAGGCUGAGGUGACCCCGGUGCAGCCCAUCUCCUCCUCCCUGGCAGCACCCAGCCUCCGCACCAGCCUCGCACAGGAAGAGUUUCGGGUUGGGCAUCUGAAGGUGUCGAUUGGAGCAUCCCUGAGCCCCAGCUGCCAGCCCCACGGUUUCCACCCGGGGUGGGCGCACAGGCAGCGCUUUCUGCACCACGAUCCCCUGGGAGAUGGGGGAAAUCUCCAAAGGGCGGAGGCUUUGAAGCAGCUUUUCUGCAAAGAAAGAAAGAAAC